UUUCAGCUGCACCACACCCCACAAAGCUCAGCAGCGCUCCCUUUUUUUUUUUCUUUCCCCGCCUCCGUCCUCCCAGGGCCCCGCCUACAUGGGCGUGUCUUUAACCAGGGGCGGUGGCUAGCGCAGCCUUUCGCCCUCCUCCGUGCUGUCCGUGCUCCGCCUACGGGGGCGUGGUUCCAGCGAGGGGGCGGUGGCCGCAGCGCUGACAGCAGCUCCCCGCCCCCGCGGCCAGCCACGUCCCGCACGUAGCGCCCGGGCAGCGGCAUACAGCCGCAGGUUGGCGCCCGGAGCUCCGGCUCCUCCGGCGGGGCUCGGUAUGAGGCUGGCAAGGCUGCUGCGGGGCGGCACGAGCGUCAGGCCGCUCUGCGCCGUCCCCUGCGCCAGCCGUAGCCUGGCCUCGGCCUCGGCCUCGGGUUCCGGGCCGGCGUCGGAGCUUGGCGUUCCGGGCCAGGUGGACUUCUAUGCGCGCUUCUCGCCGUCGCCACUCUCCAUGAAGCAGUUCCUGGACUUCGGGUCAGUGAAUGCUUGUGAAAAGACCUCGUUUAUGUUUCUGCGACAAGAGUUGCCUGUUAGAUUGGCAAAUAUAAUGAAAGAAAUCAGCCUCCUCCCCGACAAUCUUCUCAGGACCCCAUCCGUACAGCUGGUGCAAAGUUGGCCUGGAGCUCAGCAUACAGACCAGGUUGACAUGGAACUGGCAGCGAUUCUUUUGCCUCUACCUCUCUGGUAUUACAGGGAUGUGCUUCCGUGUCCAGUUACUGUGUCCAGGUAUAUCCAAAGCCUUCAGGAGUUGCUUGAUUUUAAAGACAAAAGUGCUGAAGAUGCUAAAACUAUUUAUGAAUUCACAGACACAGUGAUAAGGAUCAGAAACCGGCACAAUGAUGUCAUUCCCACCAUGGCCCAGGGUGUGACUGAAUACAAGGAGAGCUUCGGGGUGGAUCCUGUCACCAGCCAAAAUGUUCAGUACUUUUUGGAUCGAUUCUACAUGAGUCGCAUCUCAAUUAGAAUGCUACUCAACCAGCACUCCUUAUUGUUCGGUGGAAAAGGAAGUCCAUCUCAUCGAAAGCACAUUGGAAGCAUAAAUCCAAACUGCGACGUGGUGGAGGUCAUUAAAGAUGGCUAUGAGAACGCUAGGCGGCUUUGUGAUUUGUAUUAUGUUAACUCUCCUGAACUUGAACUUGAAGAACUAAAUGCGAAAUCACCAGGACAGACAAUACAAGUGGUUUAUGUACCAUCCCAUCUCUAUCACAUGGUGUUUGAACUGUUCAAGGUUUGUAAAAAUAGUAUUGCGUAACAUUUACUAGUCCUUUCCUGAGUGUAGGAACCUGCUCUGAAAACCAUAUUCCUUUGGGCUUCUAUUCCAUGAUGGUAUGCCAUUUUAUGUGAGUAUUAUCCCACUGUGCUGGAAGUGAGCUUUUUGUCUAUACAGAUGGGUGCCUCCAUACAGAUCAGGGAGCCAGGAAGACCUGGAGUAAUAAAGACUCUUUUGUUUAUUAGUGUAUAACCUUGGGCAAAUGACUCAACCGCUCUGAACCUCAGUCCUUGAAGCUAGGGGUAAUACUCUCUUGGGAAAUGUGUGAAGAUUGGAAAAGAUGUAUUAAGUGGCCAUUAUAACAGAGCAUGCUACAGGUGCUUAAAUGCCAUGAGAGCGACCAUGGAGCACCACGCGGACAAAGGCGUUUAUCCCCCGAUUCAGGUUCACGUCACGCUGGGCGAGGAGGAUCUGACUGUGAAGAUGAGUGACCGGGGAGGCGGUGUUCCACUGAGGAAGAUCGACAGACUCUUCAACUACAUGUACUCAACCGCACCCCGGCCUCGUGUUGAAACGUCCCGUGCUGUGCCCCUGGCUGGGUUUGGUUACGGAUUGCCCAUAUCACGCCUCUAUGCACAGUACUUCCAGGGAGACCUAAAGCUGUAUUCCUUAGAGGGCUACGGGACAGAUGCGGUUAUCUACAUUAAGGCUCUGUCGACAGAAUCCGUCGAGAGACUCCCUGUGUACAAUAAAGCCGCCUGGAAGCAUUACAAAGCCAACCACGAGGCUGACGACUGGUGUGUGCCCAGCCGAGAGCCGAAAGACAUGACCACAUUCCGAAGCUCUUAAACGCACAUGGGACGCCUGGCACAUCCACAUGUGGUUUCUGCUAAAUUUGGAAGACAUGUAUUUGGAACCACACUGUUCCAAAUAUUUCACGUGUGAUCUUCACAAUUAGUGUUUGCUGAAGCUCCUAAAGGAUCGGUUAUGCCAACUGUAUUCUGAUGUGUUGGGUUAAUUGGGCGUGGUUUUGAACACACAUAAUUUUGGUCAACUACCCUUGGUAUGGUAUGGGGUGUGAAGUUCCUGGUUUCUGUAGGAAGCUGAGUAUUUCUUUCAAGUUUUCACUUACUUCUGCUAGAAGCAUCUGAAGAACGUGGAGUAGCUGGCUAGCGGCCUCUCUGCUUUUGGAGUUCUAUCAUCUGUGAGUGGUGACACCUAGUCAGAUGGUCUUCUUAUCUCCCACGAAGAACAACACAGUGAUCCGUUAGAACCCACACAGGUUGUCAGAGUGCUGAAAUGAAUUGAUCAUGGCAUCAUUUUUUUGCAGUGGAUUGUAAUGACUGGUUCCCCAUGGAGCUAAGUCCAGAGCGUGGUUAUCGAGUUUACUGUCAGCACAAGGGAUUUUCUUUAAAAACAAAGUCUCACUGUGUAGCCCCAGCUGGCCUUGAGCUUACAAAGCCCUCGGUGUCCUGAGCGCUGGAAUGAGAAGGGUGUGCCACCACAUCUGGCUUACAAGAGAAACGUUAGUCCCAAAACAAGCCAAAUGGCAGCAGAGAGUAAACUGUUUGGGAAGCACCAAGUGGCCCAGGCCGAGCUGACCGACUGCUGAGGUGAUCUGAGGAUGAGCGUGAGAUUCUCUGGGUCCCACCCAGGGAUCCAGAGGCUGAAGGCCAGGGACCAGGUGAGGCUCAUGGCUGGCCUGGCUGGAACUAUAUUUGGGAGUGAAUCGUGACUACUGCUGUUGUCAGAGUGACAGACUAGAUUGGGAAGCUUGUCGGGUUGCUACACAUUAGGGGACAUAAUCUGAAUCUCAAGCCUGGUGCAAGCUAAAGCAUUAGCGGGAAGACCAGGGUGACAGCGAGAGGUCAGGUGACCAAAGGCUCAGCCACCUUGGUUUCCAGUGGUGACUAAGAACAUGUAUUUUUCUAAAAUAUCCAGAUUUUUUUUUUAAAUCAAAGAAAAGUCAGCUUAUAUUAACUACAGAAUUCAUUUGCAGCUAUGUGUUGAUUUAAAGUCUGCAACAAACGCUUUGAAGUAUUGAUGUUAUUUGUGUUAGAAUACAAACCUAUGGAGCAGGUAAUGACACCUGGGUUCUCUCUCAGUGACCCAGAGUCACACAGAAUUGGUGCCCCAGCCUGAGCUGUCUCUGCUGAUCACUGUCCACUGUCUGGGAUAUUUAUAACCUCCUCUGUUAGGUGAUGGGGAAGUACUUGGAAAACAUGCUUUGCCACUUGCCUAGAGGGAUUUGGGGGUUUGGUUUGGAAAAUGUAGUGAGUUAAAACAUGUCACUCUUGACAUGUUUUAUCCAGUCUUCACUCUGUGUCCUACACAUACAUACAUCUGUAAUACAAAAGCCAAAUCAUGUGACAUGGCACAAAAUAGAACUUUGGUGCCAGUGAUAGGAACAUGCAGCCUGAGCAUGCGCCAGGGUGGUCAGCCCAGAUCCUUAGCUGAGAGGUGAGGGGCCUGAAACUCAGGUCCUAUUGGCCCAGGGUUUUUAGCUAAUACUACCAAAUGUUGGAAAAUAUACACCGUAUACCUGCUGUUUCUAAUUGAGGACUUUGUAAGAAAUAAUAGAUCAUGCUCCUGAGUGGCAUUUAUUCAGUGUAUUGCACUUACUAGCUUUCAAUUACACUUUACUGCAAUGAUGAAAUAUUUUGGAAUCUUUUGUACAACUGUCAAUAAACGUACUAUUUUUACUUGUGAAAUACUUUGCCCUCUCCAAGGAAUUAAAAAAAAUUAUCCCCCUCUCUGCUUAAGAGCUAAGAAAUGUUUUCAGACAAGAAGAAUUUAAAAUUAGUUUACUUUAGAUUCUUUUUAAGGUGUAGCACCUUUUUGCUCUGUUGUAAUGGUAAUGGAUGGAGACAAUGUGACAAAGCUCUAGGGGACGCUUUCCAGAGUUACUUUUAAAGACACCUGGAAGGUUUUUAGAUUCUUAAGGUGAGCCAUUUUGUCUGCCAGCGAUAGUUUUAUGUGGUUUAGGUAUGAAAAUAGAGUUGAUGGUUGGGGAAUGGACAGCAAGUGAUUUUUAUAACCUGGGCAGUUAGUGAGUGUGCCAGUGUAGUGUAGGAAAGGAUUGUAAGAAUAUUUCACCAGGCAGUGGUGGCGCACGCCUUUAAUCCCAACACAUGGGAGGCAGAGGCAGGCGGAUUUCUGAGGCUAGCCUGGUCUACAGAAUGAGUUCCAGGGCAGCCAGGGCUAUACAGAGAAACCCUGUCUCGAAAAAUAAAAGACUAUUCCACACUGUAAUUCCAAAUGCUGGCUGGUUUUGAUGCCUUUACAUUUAAUAAUGGUCAGUGUCUUACACUGAGAUUUCUACAUGAAGACAUAGAAGCAGAAUUCUACCGCAGCGUGGUGCAUUUUCGGGGUGACUGAAAACUGAAAAGAUGGAUCAGCUUUAAAAAAAAAUUUGAGCCACUUAAGGAUCUUAGAAAUAUACUCGUGUCCUUUAGACAGCAGUCUGUUUCAUCAUCAAGACUCAAUAUCUGUACAGGUUCAACGAAUUGUAACUAGUUGCCAGCACUGGCUCAGUGGGUAAAAGCAUGGCCAUCAAGCCUGGGUUAGGGAUAGGGUUGGAGAUCUUUCCUCAGCACGAAUGGUGGAAUUAGAGAAAGAACCAACCAUCCUGUGAGUUAUCUGUGGUUCUCCACACGUGCACUGUGCACAUGCGCAUCCCCUACAUACACCACACUAAUAACUGUAGCCAGGUGUCUUGCACUCUCAACCAUCUCCUAGCAGUGCUUGAGGCAGGCUUGCACUGUAGAUAGCCUAGUGGGCAAAGCAGGUAGAGUUCGUGUGCUUAGAGUUAUCCUAGAUUUCCCUUUUCUAAUACACUGCCAAUGAUUGACAUGUGCUGGAGAACUGGUGGAUAAUUUUGAAGAGCUGUAUAAGUAAGUCAUUUUCCACAGUAGAAAUAACAGUAGGGAAAGGCUUAGUGUAACUGGCACUGCCUUCUACUCAACACUGGUGGAAUCUCCUUUAGUCAAGACAGAGUAUGUCCUAUUGCUCGUUGAUAGCGUGGGUCCACCACGCCUGCCUUUCACCGUUACAGCGGCAUGGCGGCACACACCUGUAAGUAGAUCUCUGAGCUUGAGCCAGCCUGGUCAACAUAGGGAGUUUCAGGUUAGCCAAGGCUACAUGUACGGACCCUGUGUGCUGUAUUUUUUUUUUUUUUAAAUCAAUGAGGUCUAAAACAACUACAGAGGAGGAAAGAGUUGUGUGGUUCUAUGAAACUCAGUGAGUGGCUAAUUAGAGAGGGACCCCAGCCAGCAACCUUCUCUUAUGUCAUCAGGUUUACAAGGAAGUACAAAGCUUGAAAGGAGAGGUGGCCAGGGUUAGGUUUGGUUGUUUUAACUGAAGGAACUUCUCAUAUCCGAUUAACUUGUGUUCUCAAUACUAUUAAUUCUUCUCUCAGUCAAACCCAAGACACUAUAAAAAAAAUAGAAUUAAUGCUUUGUGAAGGAAAACAACGCAUUGCUAUUUUACACAAUCCUGGCAUUCUUAAAUGACUGUAUCACUUGUUCUACCUUUUGUGUUUGCAAAGAAUUAAACAGUGUGCUGUCCACUUUU